rnacentral:lncRNA from 1 species
AUGUGGAAGCGAGUUUGGAAACUUUUCUGCAGCCAAAAUCUGUGCGGUGAAAAAAAUAACUAUCAAUAGUAAAACUAAAUCUUUUAACUUGAAAUAAAUCUUUUACGGAUUUUGACAGACGACAUAUAUAAACUGCAUUAAGGUGUUCACUAUGCAACAAUUGGAGCACCAUGGCAUUGGCAUCAGGGCAACCGUUGACACGCAAAUUCUGCAAUUUUUCAGCCUUGAUGUUGAAGUUGUUAACAUUGCGACAACCAUAAAGUAUCAAAUUCUUAAGUUGUGUUCCACCUAAAUUAACCCCGAAAUCAACAUGCAUUAAUUUAAUAUCUUGAAGAUUGGGAAAUCCCUUAAACGCAGGUGGUGGCUUGAAAAUACAGGUAAACAAGUUCAGCUUUGUCAAUUGUAGACAAGAGAAUACGGAGGAUGGAAUAUGAUAAACCCGAUUGGAGUUCACAAUGUGGAGUUCCCUAACAUUAUUCCUUGAUAGGAUUAACAUCCAUUGAUCAACUUCUUUGAGACUAUCAAGAAAUAUCUCUUUUGGUAUAUGGAGAACAAAUUUGAAAAUGGGACCACUGUGAAGGAUCAUAAUCUGGUUUAAAACCCUAAUAAACCCAUUACAACUGAAGGCUCCAGUUUUUAAAAACUGUUGAGAGAAUUGCUUAUAGAGAAACAGUGUCUUCAUAGUGGUCCAUCUGUAUCUCCACUUUCUAGAUAAAACACUUGUCCUUACAGCAUCUUUAACUGGGAGCCGCUCUAAAAUCGGGUCUAGCAAAUCCUCAGGCAAGUUACUGAUUAUGUCCUUGUCAGCAGAGGAGCUUACAAACCUCCUCCUUGUAUGACGAUUAUCUAUCAUUACAUUCAACAAAACCAUGACUUCAAAAGUAAACAGAGUUUAU